rnacentral:lncRNA from 10 species
AGAGAACCAUGGAACCCAGUGACUAGUGUUCAGCUCUAUUAGGACGAACCCAGGCACUUAGCCAUGCAGGAACAAUGGCAAGCCUUUAGCCCGAUCGGGAGUGGCAAUGGGCGCCUCGAUGGAUCAGGAGCACAGCGGACACCCUGCCAGAUCUGGAGGGAUGGAAGUCAGCGGUGGGUCUGCGAAAGCGCAAACAGGAGUGGUGGACAGCAAGUGAAAGCUCACCUCGAGCCGUAAGGAACACGGAACAAAAGAGAGUGCAGUUGCAAGAUUUAAUAGAGUGAAGACAGAGCUCCCAUACAAAAAGAGAGGACCCAAAGAGGUCAUCAGUUAGAUGAAUAUGUAUUUGAAAGCUGUUCAUUCAUUGUGGAGAUGUGGGUAGACAGCAGUAAAUAUGCCCCAUGGCACUGAUUAACUCAAAGUGGCUCCAGGCCAAAGAUUUUAUGCUUCAGUGGAGAUAUUUUUGCCAGGAACCAUGUUUACCAGAGAUGUUUCCCAAGAUGGACAACAGACUGACCAUGUUGAUUCAGAACUAAGUACUAAUAAAAAGGAGUUUAAUAAGAAGUCUAAUAGAAAUCAAAUUGUAUUUAUCAACUUUAAUUCUAUUUUAAUGCACGAGUCCUAACAGCCAAACGACUAAUAUGCUGACAUUUCUUAAUUCAUUUUUUCUGACUGUGCUCCCAAAAGGUGUGUGAAAAUGCAGUUUAUAAAUUAA